rnacentral:rRNA from 1 species
AACGAACGCUGGCGGCAGGCCUAACACAUGCAAGUCGAACGCCGUAGCAAUACGGAGUGGCAGACGGGUGAGUAACACGUGGGAACAUACCCUUCGGUUCGGGAUAACUCAGGGAAACUUGAGCUAAUACCGGAUACGUCCGCGAGGAGAAAGAUUCAUCGCCGGAGGAUUGGCCCGCGUCUGAUUAGCUUGUUGGUGAGGUAAUGGCUCACCAAGGCGACGAUCAGUAGCGGUCUGAGAGGAUGAUCAGCCACAUUGGGACUGAGACACGGCCCAAACUCCUACGGGAGGCAGCAGUGGGGAAUAUUGGACAAUGGGCGCAAGCCUGAUCCAGCCAUGCCGCGUGAGUGAUGAA